GCUAAGGAGAGGGUCAUGAAGGAGGUAAGAACAUAGAUGGGCUGCUCUGUGUGCAUCUUUAUUUGGGGAUGUCAUUUAAAAAUCAGUCAUUGAGGUGUCUAAUUCUUUGAUCAAAAUCAAUCAGUCAAUCAAUCACCCCUCAACUUAACUUCCAGGUAGGGUCAUUAGCUUUAUGUUCAUAAUUUUUAUGCAAUGUCAAAAUAAUUAUUCUGGAAAAUAUGUAUGUCCCCGUCUCUAUUUUGACAACAAAGCCCAGGGGAGCAUGGCGAAAGAAAAGCCAUGUGUAGGAAGCAGAGGGCAGAGACAGGGCUGACAGACAGAAGGAAGGCUGCCCUCCACCCAGGUCUACUUCUCAUUUUCUGAAUCCACUUACACCUCAAGCUACAAGCACCUCUCUGUCUCAGCCUGACUUCUCCCUGUUCUCCUUGUCCUGCUAGAGACAAGAUCUCUCCCAUUUUCCUUAUAGCUCUCCUUGUUACGGCCUGAAUGUCCGUUCCCUCCAAAAUUUGUAUUUUGUAGCCCUACUCUCCCCUCCCCCCUGCCGCCGCAGUGUGAUGGUAUUUGGAGACGAGCCUUUGGGACUGAAUUAGGAUUAGAUGAGGUCACAAAGGAGGACCCCUUAUGAUGGGAUCCAUGCCCUUCUGAGAAGAGUCAACAAAAACCUAGUUCUCUCUCUCUGUCCUGUGAGGAAGAAGUGAUAGGGAAGAUAGAAGUCUGCAAUCCAGGAAGAGAACUCAUGCCAGAAUCCAGCCAUGCUGGUUUCUGAUCUUGAACUUCCAUUUCCAGACCUGUGAGAAAAUAAAUUUCUGUUGUUUAAGCCAUUCAGUCUUUGAUAUUUUAUUAUGGCAGCCCGAGCUAAGGCAUCUUUGUGCCCUUCUUCCCCACUUUGCUAUCUGUCUGACUUCAGUCAUAACCUUGGAGUCUUCUUGCUGUGUUUCAGAAGGUACCCUGAGUUAAUCUAUGCUCAUGUGGCAAGCAGAGCUUGAAGAAGGUGUUGUGCUUUUCACUUCCCAGAUGCCCACCAUUGUUCCACCAAAUGUUGAGGAAUAUAGAUAGUGCAGGGACCCACUUCCUGGGGGAUACAGCCCCUGCAUUUGCUUUAUCUACGAUGGUUGGAGCUGACCCUGAGUAGCUCUUCUUUUUUUCUAAUUAAGCACCAGAAGGCUCCCUAGCACAGUGCUGCCUUGCUGCACCCCAGGCUGGGACAGUUCUGUGGCCACAUUCCCCUCUUGCCCCCUGCCUUUUAGGCAUGAGCACCUUAGUCUCCAUUGUGCAUCCAAACCUGUCGGCGUUCCAAGCACCAGCGCCUGCCAGCUCCGGGCACUUUAUUUCCUCAGCAGCUGGCGCAGGAUUUCUCUGUUGCCAACUGGAAGCUGAGAUAUUAAAAAAUAAAACUUGGCCCAUCUUGAGUGUCAUAUGUUUCCAUCAGGAUUCGGAUCUGCAUUCUGGCUUAGCUCAUGCCAUCACUUGGGCGCCUCUCUCAGGACUAAGAACCCAGUCUGUUUCUGAGUCUCUGGCCAUGUUUUCACCUGCUUAUUUCAAAUGUAGUUUCCAGCCUUGAAAAACCUGUGAUGCUUAUGACUAGUUGAGGGCCACUGACACUUUACUUGGUCUUCCUGGAUGUGUAUAUUCACCUGUUCGGUGUUUCUUUAGCACUGGGUUGCCUUCUCUGAUAGUGGGUGUCAGUUUCAUAUCUUAAACGGCAGAUUCUCAAGAACCAGGCUCAUGCUUCUCAGGCUAAUGAGUAGCCAACACACAGCACUGAGGCGUGGUUGUCUGCUACGUGACUUCACAUAAGCAUGAGGUGGUCCAAGAAAACAGAUAUUAAUAUUUGUAAAUAUUUGUCUACUGUUUUUUGUAUUUCACAUCCUAAAAAGAAUGUGUGAUAUAACCUUAGGUUUUCCAUGUCUGCAGACAGAAGGACAGUUGGAGCAGUUAAAAUAACUGCUGUGGAUGGGGCUUUCUGUAUAAUUUACCACUCGCUUUGCUUAUAAAGAGGGUGUUAGAAUUAGAAAAUAUCAAUCAUUUGGUAGCUUUGAGAUCUUAUUUUAUUCAGGAUAAUACAUCCUUCACUGUAAAGUUAGAGCCAAAAUCACUGCAACUUGACUAUGAUUCAGAAAUACAGAAUAGAAUUCUGAAGAUCAUUUAAAGAUGAAAAAAAAAAACCCCUUCUUUUGGUAAGGAGUAUUUUAAAGCAGUCUGUAGUCUGUGUAUACUGAUAAAGAAAAAUGUGACCCAGAAGCAACUUCUUAUAUUUAAAUUAUGUCAUUAUUAUGCUCAUACCUAAAAAAUGUAUUUUUAACCUAAUUUUUCUAACUUAAAUAGUAAAAUAAAAUUUGGCUUCUGGUUUCACUAUAUAUUUCAUUAGUAGCUACUGAUAAUUGUCUUAGUCUCCUUUCUGAUAAAGGGAUUUUUUUGCAGCACUUAAAACAAUAAACUUUGAGGAAGGUGUUAAUGAGGUAGGCAUGUCCAGGAAAAAGGCGGAAAGUAUAGAGACUGGAAGACUUAGGACACGCCUUUUCUGAGUGUCAUUUGGGUAAGGGGUAUAAAUUCGGCGAUGGCUUUCUGUUGGGGAGGAGACAUGGUAAGUGAUGGGAUAUCACAUCUUUCAAGAUGUCUUCUGAGUCCAAGCUUCUGGAAAUGUGCUGGCCGCAGUCUGCUGCUGAGAUACAAAGCGAGGCUGCAGUCCACAGAGAAGGAA